rnacentral:lncRNA from 1 species
GGGAUCCCGCAAUUGCGACAAUAUUUCAUAUGUCAAUUUGAAGAUCCAGCAAUUUCAAUUUUUAUGUUAAUAAAUAAUGUCCAUAUUGUAAGAAAAGUACACACAUUCUUUAUAGAAUUACUCAAUAGUAUAUUUCAACGAUGAGAAAAAUAUGAAUAAGCAGUUUCACAACUGAUUUGUUGCAUAGAUUAUUAUCCUUGAAUAAUAACUUAGAAGUUGAGCAUUUUCAAUCAUUGAUUUUUAAUCCAGUAAUAAGUUAUUAGCGGUCAUUGAAGUAUGUAUGCUACAUUAUGAAACCAUCUGCAUCUACGAAUAGAUAUCACCGUAUGGGUGGCUCGCGGCAAUAACUCUCUAUAUAUGAAAAAAAAAGAAAAAAAGAGGUAGGAUUGAAUGAUGCCUAGCUUGUAAAUUGGGUUGGGCUUACACAAACUUUUUGCCAAAGAUACAAGCCCAAUGAUGACAAAGUUAGUGUAUGGAGAACAAAAAAUUAUUGAAUAAUGAUUAUAGAUAAUCCAUGAUUAUUACCAUAAAAAAGAUUGUGAUUGCGUACAUAGUGAUUAAUCUCUGCCGACUAGGCAUUACUUUGUUUUGUUUUGUUUUUUUUAGUCCAAUCAUGUUGCAGCAGUGGUAGGCUGGGCCCCACGUAAUCGCAUGAAAGCCCAGGUAUUGGUGUAGGGCCCAGGCCCACCCAACAACUCCUAACCCCAAACCAAAUCAACCUCAUUUGACCGCCGGCGGGUAAGCCUAUGACAAUUAACCUUUUCAAUUCUUUUAUUUUCUUUAAUCAGCUCUUUUUCUUUUCCACUUACAAGACGUGUGCUGCUGCUGCAACUUCUACGCAUGCAAUGACACACAGGGUAAACGAGGUAGAAAGGUACACAGGAUAAAAAAAUAAAAAUAAAAAAAAAAAUAAUGCGUGACAAAACGCACCGUAAAAGGGUUGCCUAAUUCGGUGGGGUCCAUACUGGAUUUAAUUGUCUUAAAUUUUCCACGAGAUACCCGAUGCCGGGAAAAUUCACGCGCGGAGCUAAAGGAAAAAUUACAUUUAUAUACCCUCCCUCCCAAAAAUGCCAGCGGGGCCCACCACCAGACACUGAUUGGUCCUUCUCGCCCACUCUCUGCCGCUAGCGCGUGAGGCUCUCCCGCCUUUAAAAUCUCGAUUCCCUCUUUUGAUUGCUACCUCUCUCUCUCUGGGCCUAAAAAAUAUAUAUAUAUAUAUAAUAAAUAAAUAAAGAAUUGAUUUUUAAUUUUAUUUUCCACCA